CAGUCGCCACGGUAAUACGUAGGUGGCAAGCGUUGUCCGGAUUUAUUGGGCGUAAAGCGAGCGCAGGCGGUUUCUUAAGUCUGAUGUGAAAGCCCCCGGCUCAACCGGGGAGGGUCAUUGGAAACUGGGAGACUUGAGUGCAGAAGAGGAGAGUGGAAUUCCAUGUGUAGCGGUGAAAUGCGUAGAUAUAUGGAGGAACACCAGUGGCGAAGGCGGCUCUCUGGUCUGUAACUGACGCUGAGGCUCGAAAGCGUGGGGAGCGAACAGGAUUAGAUACCCCUGUAGUCCCUGUCUCUUAUAC
rnacentral:rRNA from 1 species